UGGGGAAUAUUGCACAAUGGGGGAAACCCUGAUGCAGCGACGCCGCGUGAACGAAGAAGGUAUUCGUAUCGUAAAGUUCUGUCCUAUGGGAAGAUAAUGACAGUCCCAUAGAAGAAAGCUCCGGCUAAAUACGUGCCAGCAGCUGCGUUAAUACGUAUGGAGCGAGCGUUGUCCGGAAUUAUUGGGCGUAAAGGGGACGCAGGCGGUUUAAUAAGUCGAAUGUUAAAGAUCGGGGCUCAACCCCGUAAAGCAUUGGAAACUGAUAAACUUGAAUAGUGGAGAGGAAAGUGGAAUUCCUAGUGUAGUGGAGAAAUACGUAGAUAUUAGGAGGAAUACCAGUAGCGAAGGCGACAUUCUAGACACAAACUGACGCUGAGGUACGAAAGCGUGGGGAGCAAACAGG
rnacentral:rRNA from 1 species